rnacentral:tRNA from 1 species
GGCACCAUAGCCAAGUGGUAAGGCCGGGGUCUGCAAAACCCCUAUUCUCCAGUUCGAAUCUGGAUGGUGCCUCCA